AACGAACGCUGGCGGCAGGCUUAACACAUGCAAGUCGAACGGGUGCAGCAAUGCAUCAGUGGCAGACGGGUGAGUAACACGUGGGAACCUUCCUAGGGGUACGGAACAACUCAGGGAAACUUGAGCUAAUACCGUAUACGUCCGUGAGGAGAAAGAUUUAUCGCCCUUAGACGGGCCCGCGUCGGAUUAGCUAGUUGGUGGGGUAACGGCCUACCAAGGCGACGAUCCGUAGCUGAUCUUAGAGGAUGAUCAGCCACACUGGGACUGAGACACGGCCCAGACUCCUACGGGAGGCAGCAGUGGGGAAUUUUGGACAAUGGGCGCAAGCCUGAUCCAGCCAUGCCGCGUGGACGAUGAAGGCCUUAGGGUUGUAAAGUCCCUUCAGCUGGGAAGAUAAUGACGGUACCAGCAGAAGAAGCCCCGGCUAACUCCGUGCCAGCCGCCGCCGUAA
rnacentral:rRNA from 1 species